rnacentral:rRNA from 1 species
CCUACGGGGGGCAGCAGUGGGGAAUAUUGGACAAUGGGGGCAACCCUGAUCCAGCCAUGCCGCGUGUGUGAAGAAGGCCCUCGGGUUGUAAAGCACUUUCAGUGAGGAAGAACGCCUGGUGGUUAAUACCCAUCAGGAAAGACAUCACUCACAGAAGACGCACCGGCUAACUCCGUGCCAGCAGCCGCGGUAAUACGGAGGGUGCGAGCGUUAAUCGGAAUUACUGGGCGUAAAGCGCGCGUAGGUGGCUUGAUAAGCCGGUUGUGAAAGCCCCGGGCUCAACCUGGGAACGGCAUCCGGAACUGUCAAGCUAGAGUGCAGGAGAGGAAGGUAGAAUUCCCGUUGUAGCGGUGAAAUGCGUAGAGAUCGGGAGGAAUACCAGUGGCGAAGGCGGCCUUCUGGACUGACACUGACACUGAGGUGCGAAAGCGUGGGUAGCAAACAGGAUUAGAUACCCUAGUAGUC